rnacentral:rRNA from 1 species
UACGUAGGGUGCGAGCGUUAAUCGGAAUUACUGGGCGUAAAGCGUGCGCAGGCGGUUUGUUAAGUCUGCUGUGAAAUCCCCGAGCUCAACUUGGGAAUUGCAGUGGAUACUGGCAGGCUGGAGUAUGGUAGAGGAAGGUGGAAUUCCCGGUGUAGCAGUGAAAUGCGUAGAGAUCGGGAGGAACACCAGUGGCGAAGGCGGCGACCUGGGCCAAUAUUGACGCUGAGGUGCGAAAGCGUGGGGAGCAAACAGG